UUGUUCCCUAAAUAGGGACUUGUAUGAAUGGCCACACGAGGGCUUUACUGUCUCUUACUUCCAAUCCGUGAAAUUGACCUUCCCGUGAAGAGGCGGGAAUACAACAACAAGACGAGAAGACCCUAUGGAGCUUUAAUUAACCGACCCAAAGAGACCCUAUACUUAACCGACAGGAACAACAAACCUCUAAUGGGCCGACAAUUUAGGUUGGGGUGACCUCGGAGAAUAAAAAAACCUCCGAGUGAUUUAAAUCAAGACUAACCAGUCAAAAGUAUUACAUCACUUAUUGAUCCAAAAACUUGAUCAACGGAACAAGUUACCCUAGGGAUAACAGCGCAAUCCUAUUUCAGAGUCCAUAUCGACAAUAGGGUUUACGAC
rnacentral:rRNA from 1 species